UACGUAGGGUGCAAGCGUUAAUCGGAAUUACUGGGCGUAAAGCGUGCGCAGGCGGCUUUGCAAGACAGAUGUGAAAUCCCCGGGCUUAACCUGGGAACUGCAUUUGUGACUGCAUGGCUGGAGUGCGGCAGAGGGGGAUGGAAUUCCGCGUGUAGCAGUGAAAUGCGUAGAUAUGCGGAGGAACACCGAUGGCGAAGGCAAUCCCCUGGGCCUGCACUGACGCUGAGGCAUGAAAGCGUGGGGAGCAAACAGG
rnacentral:rRNA from 1 species